rnacentral:rRNA from 1 species
CGUGUAGGCGGUUUAGCAAGUCAGAUGUGAAAGCCCUGGGCUCAACCCAGGAAGUGCAUUUGAAACUGCUAUACUAGAGUAUGGGAGAGGAGAUUGGAAUUCCCAGUGUAGAGGUGAAAUUCGUAGAUAUUGGGAGGAACACCGGUGGCGAAGGCGACUCUCUGGACCAAUACUGACGCUGAGACGCGAAAGCGUGGGGAGCAAACA